GAUGAACGCUGGCGGCGUGCCUAACACAUGCAAGUCGAACGUGAGGGGGUAGCAAUAUCCCCGAAAGUGGCGCACGGGUGAGUAAUACGUAGGUGACCUACCCUGGAGUGGGGGAUAACAGCUAGAAAUGGCUGCUAAUACCGCAUACUGCUGAGACAUUGGGAAGUGACUUAGCAAAAAAUCUGGUGCUUCAGGAGGGGCCUGCGGCCGAUUAGCUAGUGGGCGGGGUAAGAGCCCACCAAGGCAGUGAUCGGUAGCUGGUCUGAGAGGACGAUCAGCCACACGGGAACUGAGACACGGUCCCGACUCCUACGGGGGGCAGCAGUGAGGAAUAUUGGGCAAUGGGCGGAAGCCUGACCCAGCAACGCCGCGUGGAGGAAGACGGCCUUCGGGUUGUAAACUCCUUUUACGGGGGAAGAGGAAGGACGGUACCCCGAGAAUAAGUCACGGCUAACUACGUGCCAGCAGCCGCAGUAAAAC
rnacentral:rRNA from 1 species